UACGUAGGUGACAAGCGUUGUCCGGAUUUACUGGGCGUAAAGAGCGCGCAGGCGGUCGAUCAAGUCGAGUGUGAAAGCCCCCGGCUCAACUGGGGAGGGUCAUUCGAAACUGGUCGACUCGAAGGCAGGAGAGGGUAGUGGAAUUCCCGGUGUAGUGGUGAAAUGCGUAGAUAUCGGGAGGAACACCAGUGGCGAAGGCGGCAUCCUGGACCGACACUGACACUGAGGAGCGAAAGCCAGGGGAGCAAACGGG
rnacentral:rRNA from 1 species